CUAAGCCUCUUCGGACUCCACACUGGACCUCGGCAUGUGUAUGUAUGUACAUGUGGCUAACACGCCCUGUCUCUGUCUGAUUUCAGAGACUGUGGUUAUACAUGUUAGUGACCCAGUUUGUUUCUAUGAACUACUCUGUUACCAUAAAUAAACCUUUAUGAUAACCCCAGAUGACUAUCUAUUCCUCCCCUGGCGAAUAAAUGUGUAGAGACAUUUAUAGACAUAUAUAUAUAUAUAUAUAUAUUCCUGGGUUGCCCCCUCGACUCAGUGCAGGUGGUGGGAGAGAGGAGGAUAAUAGCAAAGCUAUCAUCACUGAUGGACAAUGUCUCCCACCCCAUGCAGGACACCAUCAGUACACUGAGCAGCUCCUUCAGCGACAGACUCCUUCACCCCAAAUGUGUGAAGGAGAGAUAUCGUAGGUCCUUCCUCCUUCCUGCUGCUGUCAGACUGUUAAACAACCAGCACUGCUCCCAGUAAUUUUAUUUUAUUUAUUAUUUCCCUACUCUUACUGUUUUUUAUACUGUUUGAUUUUCUCUAUCCACUUUGCUGCUGUAACAUUGGAAUUUCCUCAUUGUGGGACAAAUAAAGGAAUAUCUUAUCUUAUUUUAUCUUAUCUUAUAUAUGUAGUAAAUUAUGUUUCAAUGGGAAAAGCAUCUUUCCGAAUGAAGUGGUCUCCUGCACAUUGCAGAUUUAAAAAUGUGCCCAUAAUGCUGUGGGAGUCUGACCAGAGCCUGUGGGAGUCUGAGUGAAAGCACUAAGUGGUUUCCAUGCAACACUAACAUUCGAUGGGAAUAAGCCAGCCAUUUUAACCAUGUUGACUAGAUUUCUUUUCAGCCAACUGCCAUUUGUUGAGUGAAAUUGCCUAGUGCAGUUCUCAGUCAUAAUUUCUUCUCUGAUUUCAAUUCACUUGUGGUAUGCAGCAUAAAAAUACAGCCAUGAAAUGUUUCAAAUCAUGUUCUUCAGAUGAGAAUUAAUUUAUUAGAAUUUCCAUGAUUUCACAGAGGUCGUAGAAUCUGAUUCAGUUUCUGCUAGUUUUGUAUUUUUUCCUACAGGGCUUCUUAAAAAACAUUUAGUACCAUUCAAUAAAUGUUUUAUAUCUAGCAUCUAUACCAGAAUUACUUUACAAAACAUUGUCAUGAUGUGAAUAUCAAAACAAGCUACAGUGUCGUCAUGAUAUGACAUUUCUUUAUGACAUUAAGCUUAAGAGCGGUCUUAUCAUGAGCGGUGUGAUAUGGAGCACCCCUACACACUAAGAAAUACAAUGUUAUGGUCACUGGUUCUACAAAACUUGUUGAAUAAAUGGGGAAAAGACUAGAAAAGUUUAAACCACUGUUCUGUCAUCAAGCAGUAGCAACAUGUAUCAGCAACAGUCACUGUUCUGCACACUUAAACAUGUUUUUUGAGCUGUAAACUAAAUUGACUGAACAGUGACGAAACACAUCAAUAACGGCAUUAAUAUUGACAUUCUCAUCUAAUUUCUAAAAAUCUGCAUUUCAUUUCUUGAACACACUAUCUCCUGUUUUAAAUCACGCUGAAUCUUGUAAGGCCAAUGCUGAUAGAGUUGUCGGAUUGGGACUUUAUGUCAUGACAUUUCUAUUAAUUCCCCCACUUUUAUGUCACUGAACGGCAUUGACCGUUCAGAGUCAGCCUUGACGGUUGAAGUGGAGGACUUGGACCAGUCCUGUGCAGAAGUGACAGCUGUGGUAGGUCAUUAAUAGAGUAACAUUACCGUAAAUGACUUUUUUACUACAUUGUUAUUAAGUGACUGCCAAGAGAGGAGGCAAGCCCCACAACCUGGAUGAUGACGCACAAGGAAUCCCAAAUUAGGCCCACACCCCCCAAAUGAGAGAAGGAUUUUUCUGAGCUGCAGUGCAUCCUAGUUGAAAAGGAAACUCAAGACAGAAACUAGAAAUUAAACUUCUCCAGAGUCAGCAGAGCAGAUACAAAUUGUCAGAACAAGACAAUGUGUCAUUCACCUGUAGGGAAAACUAUUUAUUGUUACUAUUCACCUUAUGCUGUGAAUAAACCAGGGUACUUUCACAUUAUGGCGCUUUGUAUUUGUACUUCCGUUUUAGAGUGGAAGUGCUGUUACUGUUUAGCAACGCUAGCCUUGUUCUGAGUUUCUCACCGUUUAGUUGCCAGAAGCUUGUUCUUUGAAAGGAUGCUACAAGAACUUUAGGAAGAGAAAGGAGUUUUUAAAUCAGGAAUGUUUUGUUCAUCGUCCUCUGAUCCGUUCACAAUGUUGUGGUCCCCCGUACAAUUUACAUCCACCACCGAGGGACAAAGAACAGUUGAACCAACAGACCAACACCCCCUUCCCGAAAAGUUCCUGGACUACAAAGUAGCCGUUAAGAAGCCGUGGAGGGUUUUGGAGCAGGCAACACAUGAUGAUGUACAGCCAGCCACAGCAAAACCAGUAGCUGUGGAAGUUGAGGAACCCAGAUUUAAAGAUGCGCUGACCCAGUGGGAAGAUUCCACAAUUAGCAACCACAAUUAGUGCCUAAUGCCACUGAGAUCCACCACAUGUGACAAAGGGACACAGUGUUGCAAGGAACCCCUUUACAAAGGCUUGCUGCACACAGAUGCACUUGUCUUCUCCAUACUGCUUGCCCCUUUCAACUUUUCAUUUGUUGGCACAAAACCUUUUGCCUUCGUACAGUGCCAGCUUUCAGCUCAACCCAACUGAUCAGCUUCUGAUGACACUGAUGAAGCUCAAGCUCAACUCGCUCCAGGAAUACCUGGUAGAGAACUUUAAUGUUGUACCUGAUGGAGAACCACAUGAGGAGCUACAUCCCAUGGCUGCCCAAGGAGACAAUAGUUGAAACAAUGCCCGAGUGUUUCAAAGACCAUUAUCCAGGCACAACCUGAAUAAAUUGACCGUUCAGAAACCAGCCCGCAGAAGCCCCAAAACCUUGCCUCCAGGGGAGAGUCCUUUAGUCAUUACUAUGGGCAGAACACAGUGAAGUUCAUGGUUGCCAUUGCACCUUGUGGCUUGAUAAUGUUCAUCCCUCCAGCAUAUGGAGGAAGGAGUAGCGACAAGUUCUCAUGACCUCUGACUCAGGGUUCCUCAACAGGGUUCCAGGUGAUGAGGUGAUUCCUGAUCGUGGCUUCAGGUUGGGGUAAAGUUGACCAUUCCUGGCCCCCUCCUACCUCGCAGACCUUCUCCAUCGCCACACUUCUUCCUGAAGCUUUUCCAACGCCAACCUCCUGUCUGCACUACUGAGGACCAAGCAUUGUACCUGGGGCGACCGAGCAUUCUCCAUAGCUGUCCCCUCCUUCUGGAACUCUCUCCCCAAACACAUCCGGGACUGUACCGAUCUGUGAUUUUGUAAAGUGCAUAUGUUUACCAUUAUUUUAUUUUUUACAUAAAAUUAACUACUAUUUAUUUCUUUUUUCACAAAAAGAAAUAAGACAAUUAGAAAUAAUUGUAAUUUUGUAAGGCUUACAAGUUGUAUUAUGAAUUAUAGGUUUGUUUAUUUAAAAUAAAUGGCAUGAAUCCCUUAAA